GUUGAACUGCAGAAGUUAAAUUUUAAAGAUAUCAUUCUCAAGAAUCUUGUUUUAAAAAGAUUGCUUCAGAUUUUGCCCAUUAAAUCUAAUUUACUUAAUAUACCAUUACAUAAAACUAUGAGGACAUUAAACAAAUAUAAUAGAUGCAGUUCCCUUGGUACUGUAAAGCCUAAUGCAUUCUAAAAAUUCAUAUUUUUGAUUGUUAAAGGUAAAUGGAUAAUCUAAAUACAGACGGUCCUCCAACUUAUGCAUGUGGAUCAUUCCGUGAAAUCUUACGUAAGUCAAAACAUACGUAUGUUGGAGCAUAUGUUAUACAGUUGUGUCAGAAAGAAAUUACAUUAACAUUAAAAAUAUUAAUAUUAAAGAAUAAAUACAUAAGUUGUAUGGUAAAGCAGCAGUUCCAUACAAUUUUGGAGGAUCUGAAUUCAACUUCAAAUCCCACCUUCAUCAAUUUUUCAGAAGCAUCUGAGUUUUGACCCAGGUAGUUAACUAAAACUAACCUUAUGUAAAUAUGAAUCUGCAUAAGUCAGAGAUUGUCU
rnacentral:lncRNA from 1 species